rnacentral:rRNA from 1 species
UACGUAGGGUGCAAGCGUUGUCCGGAAUUAUUGGGCGUAAAGAGCUCGUAGGCGGUUCGUCGCGUCGGCUGUGAAAACCUGAGGCUCAACCUCAGGCCUGCAGUCGAUACGGGCGGACUUGAGUACUGCAGGGGAGACUGGAAUUCCUGGUGUAGCGGUGAAAUGCGCAGAUAUCAGGAGGAACACCUAUUGCGAAGGCAGCUCGCUGGGACGUAACUGACGCUGAGACGCGAAAGCGUGGGGAGCAAACAGG